UGCAUACGCAUUAUAAUUGCAUGACUGGCUAACUUAAAUGGAACUACGAGAGUGGUUCGAAAAAAAAAAACAAUACCAAAAUAUCACCUGGGAAGCCCUGUUGCCUCAGCCUCAGCAAAAAAGUUGUCCUAGAGGACAGAGCAAAAGAAUUUUGACCUCUUUUUCUUUCUUAGUUUCUCGUUCGCAGUUCGGCCUCCAGAGGGACAUAAGAACGAGUAAAAUAUUAUUUAACGUCGACGUCUUUGAAAGGAAAACUUGAAAGGAUUCUUGUGGCCAUUGUUGCCCGCCAAACGCGGGAGACGAGGCGAAAGAAAUUUCGAAAAUAGGUCUAAAAAGAGAGACCAGUUUUGGAACGACGUCUACUGGCAACCAGAACCAAGAGGAACGGCCCGAGUAUAAAUAGAGGCGGCUUCCAAGUCCAGGACAAGCUGAGUUCUGUGCCCUCGACAUCUCAAGAAGCAGCAGACGACUCUCCUCAGAUUGUUCAUCAUGAAAUCGGCCGCCUUCGCCCUCCUGCUCCUGGUGGCUCUCUUCGCCUUCAUGGAAGUGGCUGAAGCCAUGCCGGAGCCAGAGCCGGUGCCAGGUCCUCACGGGUUUUAUGGAUACCGCCCCUGGGGCUUCGGAGGCUACGGAUACAGGCCCUGGGGAGGAUAUUGGGGCUGAUCCACUUGCCUGACGAAGGCCACGGAAGCUGCUUUGACGAUCGCAAGUUCCUCCCUCUGGAACUAUCAAUAGGAUUUUGGAAACUUCAACAAACAAAGUCUUCUCUCUAAUUCCAAACAGUGUAGUGUCUUUCUUCUUUCCAAAUAAAUGCUCAUGUUUCUUAUAAA